AUUGAACGCUGGCGGCAGGCCUAACACAUGCAAGUCGAGCGGAUGAAGGGAGCUUGCUCCUGGAUUCAGCGGCGGACGGGUGAGUAAUGCCUAGGAAUCUGCCUGGUAGUGGGGGAUAACGUCCGGAAACGGGCGCUAAUACCGCAUACGUCCUGAGGGUGAAAGUGGGGGAUCUUCGGACCUCACGCUUUUUGAUGAGCCUAGGUCGGAUUAGCUAGUUGGUGGGGUAAAGGCGUACCAAGGCGACGAUCCGUAACUGCUCUGAGAGGAUGAUCGGUCACACUGGAACUGAGACACGGUCCAGACUCCUACGGGAGGCAGCAGUGGGGAAUAUUGGACAAUGGGCGAAAGCCUGAUCCAGCCAUGCCGCGUGUGUGAAGAAGGUCUUCGGAUUGUAAAGCACUUUAAGUUGGGAAGAAGAGAAGUAAGUUAAUACCUUGCUGUUUUGACGUUACCAACAGAAAAAGCACCGGCUAACUUCGUG
rnacentral:rRNA from 1 species